GACGAACGCUGGCGGCGUGCCUAAUACAUGCAAGUAGAACGCUGAAGCGAGGAGCUUGCUCUUCUUGGAUGAGUUGCGAACGGGUGAGUAACGCGUAGGUAACCUGCCUUGUAGCGGGGGAUAACUAUUGGAAACGAUAGCUAAUACCGCAUAACAAUGGAUGACACAUGUCAUUUAUUUGAAAGGGGCAAUUGUUCCACUACAAGAUGGACCUGCGUUGUAUUAGCUAGUAGGUGAGGUAAUGGCUCACCUAGGCGACGAUACAUAGCCGACCUGAGAGGGUGAUCGGCCACACUGGGACGGAGACACGGCACAGACGGCUACGGGAGGCAGCAGGAGGGAAUCUUCGGGAAGGGGGGCAACACUGAGCGAGAAACGCCGCGGGAGGGAAGAAGGGUGUCGGAUCGUAAAGGUCUGUUGUAAGUCAAGAACGGGUGUGAGAGUGGAAAGUUCAGAGUGUGACGGUAGCUUAUCAGAAAGGGACGGCUAACUACGUG
rnacentral:rRNA from 1 species